UACAGAGGUCUCGAGCGUUGUUCGGAUUCAUUGGGCGUAAAGGGUGCGUAGGUGGCGUGGUAAGUCUGGUGUGAAAUCCCGGGGCUCAACCCCGGAACUGCACUGGAUACUGCCAUGCUUGAGUACUGGAGAGGAGAUUGGAAUUUACGGUGUAGCAGUGAAAUGCGUAGAUAUCGUAAGGAAGACCAGUGGCGAAGGCGAAUCUCUGGACAGUUACUGACACUGAGGCACGAAGGCCAGGGGAGCGAACGGG
rnacentral:rRNA from 1 species